rnacentral:rRNA from 1 species
AUUGAACGCUGGCGGCAUGCCUUACACAUGCAAGUCGAACGGUAACAGGUCUUCGGAUGCUGACGAGUGGCGAACGGGUGAGUAAUACAUCGGAACGUGCCCGAUCGUGGGGGAUAACGAAGCGAAAGCUUUGCUAAUACCGCAUACGAUCUACGGAUGAAAGCAGGGGACCGCAAGGCCUUGCGCGAACGGAGCGGCCGAUGGCAGAUUAGGUAGUUGGUGGGAUAAAAGCUUACCAAGCCGACGAUCUGUAGCUGGUCUGAGAGGACGACCAGCCACACUGGGACUGAGACACGGCCCAGACUCCUACGGGAGGCAGCAGUGGGGAAUAGUCUACAAUGGACGAAAGUCUGAUAGUGCGACGCCGCGUGAACGAAGAAGCCCUUCGGGUGUAAAGUUCUUUUAUAUGUGAGUAGUGCCCUUUAUAUGAAUAGUAUAAAGGGAGGAAUUAAGCUAAUAAGAAUAAGACAACGGACUAACCUCCGUGCCAGCAGCCGACGGUUAAACG